AGUAUACAUAGCUCAGUUGUAUACAACUUGACUGGCAUGCAUGUGACCAUGUGCAUGAUGAAUCCGUGAUGGUGGACUGGAAAGCGCAGUGGAGACCACAAGAAGUUAGAUAAGCCAGGCUUGUGGAACAUCUGAGAAAAUCUGCAAGUAUACGGCAAAUCCAGCCAAAUAGUGAAGCCAUGAGAGCUGCACCCCUCCAGCAUUACCCGAGGGCCAGGACCCAAGCCAUUUGGGGCUAGCAUCAUCACAUCUAGCCCCAGAAAGCUCUCCUGGGAGGCCUCCUGGUCCUGGCUGCCUUCGUGAUGUCAUGUGGUGCCCAGUGUUUUACCGUACCCUUGGAGGGAGGUCAAGAAAAUUCCACUGCUGAAUGCAAAGAUCAAGAUGGGAUCCUGCACCCACUGAAGUCAAAGUGGAGGACUCAGUACUGUGAGGAGUGUUCUUGCAAUGAAGAUGGGAUGCAGUGCUGCAGGAUAUACAAUGUACCUGAGCAACUUGACACAAUGAAGUGCACUUAUAUUAAUCACUUUGAAAACUGCUCAUACAGCAUAGUGGAUCUUCAGGACCCAGAAAAACCCUGUACUGCCCGUGCCUGGAUAAUGUAAUAUCCUCCAGUGGGCCAAGUGGUCACCUCCCUAGUCUCCUCCUGUGGCCUCUAAUAAUCAGUGUUUAUGAA